rnacentral:rRNA from 1 species
UACGUAGGGCGCGAGCGUUGUCCGGAAUUCUUGGGCGUAAAGAGCUCGUAGGCGGCCUGUCGCGUCGGUUGUGAAAGCCCGGGGCUCAACCCCGGGUCUGCAGUCGAUACGGGCAGGCUAGAGUUCGGUAGGGGAGAUCGGAAUUCCUGGUGUAGCGGUGAAAUGCGCAGAUAUCAGGAGGAACACCGGUGGCGAAGGCGGAUCUCUGGGCCGAUACUGACGCUGAGGAGCGAAAGCGUGGGGAGCGAACAGG